CUGGUCUGGUGUAGAACAGGAUCUCUGGAGGCUGUUUGCAACUGUGGUCACAAAAUUCAAUGUUCUGGGAGAAUUGGAAGCAGCUCCAUUUUUUUUGGGGCCCCUUACACAGCUCAAGGUCUGGGCCCCAGGGCCUGACGGUGAGUAUGCCCAUAAGGCCCACUCAUAAGUUCCACCCACCCAUGAGUUCGCUCACAGGGAGUGGAGUGUGUAGGGGAUGUGUUAUUGUAGAGGAUCUAAUAUGUGUGCUUAUGGUAUGUAGUGUAUAGG